GCAGGUCGAGCGGACUUAUGGGAGCUUGCUCCCAUAAGUUAGCGGCGGACGGGUGAGUAACACGUGGGCAACCUGCCUGUAAGACUGGGAUAACUUCGGGAAACCGGAGCUAAUACCGGAUAACUCUUUCCCUCACAUGAGGGAAAGCUGAAAGAUGGUUUCGGCUAUCACUUACAGAUGGGCCCGCGGCGCAUUAGCUAGUUGGUGAGGUAACGGCUCACCAAGGCAACGAUGCGUAGCCGACCUGAGAGGGUGAUCGGCCACACUGGGACUGAGACACGGCCCAGACUCCUACGGGAGGCAGCAGUAGGGAAUCUUCCGCAAUGGACGAAAGUCUGACGGAGCAACGCCGCGUGAGUGAUGAAGGUUUUCGGAUCGUAAAACUCUGUUGUCAGGGAAGAACAAGUAUCGGAGUAACUGCCGGUACCUUGACGGUACCUGACCAGAAAGCCACGGCUAACUACGUGCCAGCAGCCGCGGUAAUACGUAGGUGGCAAGCGUUGUCCGGAAUUAUUGGGCGUAAAGCGCGCGCAGGCGGUUUCUUAAGUCUGAUGUGAAAGCCCACGGCUCAACCGUGGAGGGUCAUUGGAAACUGGGAAACUUGAGUGCAGAAGAGGAGAGUGGAAUUCCACGUGUAGCGGUGAAAUGCGUAGAGAUGUGGAGGAACACCAGUGGCGAAGGCGACUCUCUGGUCUGUAACUGACGCUGAGGCGCGAAAGCGUGGGUAGCGAACAGGAUUAGAUACCCUGGUAGUCCACGCCGUAAACGAUGAGUGCUAAGUGUUAGAGGGUUUCCGCCCUUUAGUGCUGCAGCAAACGCAUUAAGCACUCCGCCUGGGGAGUACGGCCGCAAGGUGAACUCAGA
rnacentral:rRNA from 2 species